CGGUUGAUGAAGAAAGAAGGGUCGCUCUUUGCGCAGCUUGUCAAGGAGUACUGGUCUCAUCUCCAGUCUGCAGAAUCUCAUAUUGAAUGAAAUAUUUCUUUUGUAGCCAUGAAAUAAAUCUCAUAUUGAACGAAACAUUUCUUUUGUAGCCAUAAAAAAUAGUGAACCAGAAAGCAGCUUGGUGUGUGGGCCAAUGAUCUUUUUGGGCCACUGUCCUUGUAGAUUGAUUAUGGGCCUCCUCUUAUUGCGGUCUUACAAUCUACUGAGUUUAUUUUACUUAUUUUUUUUUUAAUAAAAAACUUUGCCUAUCACACUGAUUGUACAUGGAUACAAAUUUGUUCUCCACCUUAUUUCCCCACAGUCAUCCCCACCCACUUAAAUGACACAUGUCAUAUUUUCUUUGACUUAUCUAACUAUGGUUAACAAUAUAAAUCUAAAUUUUUUUAUUUAGUUUAAAUUUGUAAGAUUGGGUAUUGGGUUUUAAGGUGUAGGGUUUAGGGUUUUAAGGUAUGGGGUUUGGGGUGUGGGGUUUAGGGUUUUGGGUUUGGGUUUAGGGGUUAUUCUUUUAUCAUGAUUAGACAUAUAUAGUUAAGUAAAACCCUAAAACCCUAAACCCGAAACUCGAAACCCUAAACCCCAAACCCCAAACCCUAAAGGCCUAAACCUUAAACCUUAAACCCUAAAUGCCUAACCUCUCAAAUUUAUAUUAAAUAAAUAAUUGAUAUUGUUAACCAUGGUUAGGUGUGUUAAUGAAAACGGACAUGUGUCAUGCAUUUAGGUAGCUAGGUGGGCAUGAAGGUGGGGAAGUAAGGGUGGGGAGUAAAUUUAUAACAUACAUUAGGUCGGCUCACUCAUUAGGUCGGCUCACUUUAAAUAAGUGAGCAUAUAACUGUCAAAUUAGAGGUUUAGUUGGAUGUAUUUGUGAAGUGUUCUAAGAUGAAUGUUUAGAAGUAUAAAUGUGUUUAUUCAGGACGAGUAGUCCACUUUUAGGGGUAAUUUUGCUAAAUUUUUUAGUAAAGUUAUUCUUAAAAUAAGUCCCUCAAGGCCUCUUAAGAUUUGAGUGUGAAACAUGGUGUGGAUACAUUCAAUUUCUAAAUUGAAAAUUUCUAUGAGGCUAGAGCCAAUCAACCAAAGAGGGUUCAAACCCUAGCAAAUGUGCUGAAGACUUUGACUUCUUAGGCCUCUUUAUAUAGGUCAACAAUUGAAAACCCCACACUUAGUCCUAGUCGUUCACUACUCUAAGUCAUUUGUAAGCAUUAAAGCCGGUCCAUCACUCCAUCAGUUGAUAGCAUGGCUUUGCACCAUUUUGGUUACCCUGGCAUGACAGCAGCCAAGUGACCCAAUAACUCAACUGUAGAACCUAGCAUUGAGAAAAGCAUAUGAGUCUUGAAAGGGUUCAUCGUUGGGAAAGAAAAUAUAAGCUUUGCAAAGGUUGUCGACCUAUUUAAAAUGACACAGUUGCAAAGCUUUGCAAAGGUUGUCGAACUAUUUAAAAUGAUUGGGACCAAAGUUUGCGAUCCCAGCCAGACAAACCUCAACUCUCCCUCCAUCCUUCCAAAAUGUUGGCGGUCCUCCACAACCGGCCUCAAAAGCGCUAUAACAAUCUACAAGUUUGGCACAAAGUCACACAAUGCUCGUAUUUCAAACAGAGCUUUGCCACGAUACCUAGAGCAAAAUGAAACUCAAAAUCUGGGAAGGGGAGAGAUUCGAAAAGUGAUGAGUAUAAACCUCUGAAAACAACAAUUUCAAUGACUUUACAAAACAAGGCAUCCGUGAGUCACAUAAGCUCGAUCACGAAUAAAACAAUAAAAGACACGAAUUGUUGAGGCUAAAAUAGUUCAGAAGAUGUUAGGAAGUGUCUAUACACACAUAAAUGGGAAAGAAAGAAAAAAAACCAGAGGUCCAAAAAAUGUGAAAUUUCUGAAAAACACUGUGCUAUAGGAAAGGGGUUUGGCCCAAAUUUGGUGAAACAUGAGGGGAGGGGUAACAAGUUUUUUUUAAUUUUCUUUCAAAAAUUAAGGUUCAUGAGGUCGGUACCAUAAUAAUUGAAGACAUCACAAGCUUGGAAAUUCACUCAAUACCUCUGAAAAUAACAAUUUGAAUAACUUUACAAAACACGGCACGCGUGAGUCGUUUAAGCUCGAUCGUGAGUAAAAUGAUAAAAGACGCAAACUUUUGAUGUUAGAAUUGUUCAAAAGAUGUUAGGAGGUGUCUAUAAGCACACACAAACAGAAAAAACAAGAGGUCCAAAAAAAUGAAAUUUCUCAAAACUCGUGUGCUAUAUAGCAAGGGGUUUUGGCACAUCAGGUGAAACUUGAUGGGAGGGGUAAUUGUCACACCCCGGACCCAAUGUUGAUGGUUUCCAAGCACUAGACACCGAACCCGAGGCGUGAGCAGGAAAAAUAAAAGAAACUAAAACAAUUUCAAAUACUUUUCUCAAAAUAAAAGAAAAUAAAACGUUUACAAUAACAAAAAUAAUUACAAAGACAAAACAGACAGGCCUUGUGAUCUAGCUCACUUCUAAUCUUAUGUAAACCUGGUUGACUCUCGUACACAUCAACUAAAUGACACAGUUAGUCUUCUUGUAAGAUGUGUCCACCUACGCAUUCUAUAGGGGUGAGCUUACGCUCAGUAGGGCUAAACCUCUUAAGUUAUUCUUAUCUAAGUCGCAAAAUAAAGUUAUCAAGUAACAAACAAUAUUUUAUAUAAAUAAUAACAAAUCGAUGCAUGUAUGCUAAUGAAUGAUUUCCUCAAUUACUAGUUAAUCAGUCCAUACAUUAAAGACAUAUGAGCCUAUCCGUCCUAUAUCGUGUAGAUGCCUCGAAUAUACGACCAACCAAUCAGUAAUAUCUUACCACCUGUACCUCUUUUGUUAGUAAUCUUAUUAUACUCAUGGUCUCCUGAUCCAUAACCUGAUAAGAUCAUUUUAUCGAUGUCCGCCAUCGAAAGGGCAUAUUUUCCCUGCAUUUGUGCACGUGUGGGCUAAUCAUAGAUCCUGAGAUAAAUGAAAAUAAAACGUUUACAAUAACAAAAACUUUUCUAGAAACAAUUACAAAAACGUUUAAAUACUUUUCUUGAAAUAAAAUGAAAUAAAACGUUUACAAUAACAAAAACAAUUACAAAGACAAAACAGGCAGACCUUGCUAUAGCAGUGGUUUUUUACUUAAAUUGGGUGAAACUUACCGGGAGAGGGGUAACAGGUAAUAUUUUUUUAAAAAAUGAGGUUCCCGAAUAUCAAAAGAAUUGAAGACAUCACAAGCUGUAAAUUCACUCUAUACCUCUUAAAACAACAAUUUCAAUGGUUUUACAAACACAACACGUGUGAGUAAUUAUUUUCUUGACGUAAGUUUGGAAAUGACAUAUUGUUAUGCAAUAUCAAAUACUUCCUUCCAAUAAUAUUGAUAUGCAAUAUUAAUUGCUCAAUUAUAUAGCUAUGAUGCACGAACUAAUUUCCGGGACGUAAAUUUAGAAAUUAAUUUGGAAAUUUGCGGAAUUAAAUUCUUUCUGAAAAUUUUGAAAUUUGAUAUGAAUCGCUCAAUAAACCUUGAGAGCUAAAAAGGUAGCAUGGGAUGUGUGGCCCAACCAAAAUGCCGGGGAAGCUUGGCCGUAUAUAUGAGAUUGGACGACCGUAAUUGUUGAUAACAUGCACAUGCACAUGCACGUAGCCUAGCCUUCAGCAUUUGCCUUUGCACCUUGGCCGGAAAAUGAUCGGAACUCUAAUAUGGCUGUGAACCAGAGUGAUCUGCAUACUUCGCAUGUAUUAUACCAGAAUAGACGUCCAAAUGCUUAUUACAAGUAAUUAUGUGAAGAUUAGAUAAGAGCAAGCUGAGGGAAUUCAGUCAAAGUUUCCCGCAGUGUUAAUUCAUGUGGGUUAUAAUUAUCUCACCUAGCUUUUGAGAUUACCUACCAUCACAUAUGGUUAAGUUUGAGGCAUUAUGCCAACCCAGAAACUUUAAUGUAUGCUACUAUAUAUACAGACAAAACUACCAUAACUGAUAAAUAAAUUAAAGAUGAAAACAUGGAUGCUGUGCUGUGAAAACCUUCUGUAUGUAUACAUAACCAGAGCUUAUCUCUUUCUAUUAGCCCAAGUGAACUUGAUUAUUCAAAUUUGCAGAAUUCAAAUGACAGUGUUCUUGAUCUUUCUUGGGUUAAUUCAGUGUCUUACAUGCAUUGAGAUCUAAGGAAAGAAAAUGUGGUGGGUAUUGAUCACUCUAACAUAUAUUAGCUUGGUUGAGAAUUGUCAUUCUAGUAUGUUUGGCACUGAAUUGAGGGAUAGAGGUUUUCCUUUUAUUCCCUUUUGGACCUUCUAUGAAAGACCAAAACCCUUUUUUGCAUCUUAUAAUUAAAUUCUCCUUGCAUUUUCAUUUCAGACACCCUCUUGUCCAUAUAAAUUAAGCCUCUCACUUUCAAGUCUCUCUUCCUCAUCCCUAUUGUCCCCAUACUUUUCAAGUCAGGCCCCUCUUUUGUUUACAUGUAAGUAUGAGUACUGUGUCUGUGUGGUACUAGUACCAGCAGUAGCUAGCUAGCUAGCUGGUUUGAUCAAUGAUCAUCUUGUGAGAUCAAUCAAUAAUAUCAUGAAUGCUAUAUCUAUGAAAUUAGAUCCAUUUCCUUCUCUACUUUGAUUUUCGAAAUUGAUUCUUCAUCUGCUUGGUGUAUCAAUCAAAGGGUGGUUGAUUUUUCAUGCAUAAAAAGGAUCAAUAAGGAAAAUGGUAGAUCUAAUCAUUUGGAGAUGAUAUGAUCCUUCUUAAUUUCUUUAGGUGAUAGGGAUCUGCUACUAUUUGCAAAAUAUUUUUUUUCUUUCUAAUAUAUGGAUCUGUUGAGAUUUUGUUAUUUCCAAGUAAUGUAAUUGAUUUUUUUGAUCGAUCUAUACGAUCGGUAUGUCUGUAUGAACCGACGGUGCCUCUCAAUGUUAUUGAUAACGUUGAUUUUUAUUUUGGGAUCGGCUAUUUGUCAAUUUUCUUGGUCGAAUCUUCCGGUCUCGUCUGGAAAUAAACAAAAGUUUACAUUUGUUGGACAUGCGCAAGCCUUCAUCGUUGUGGGCCAAUGAUUAUGCUGAUUCCAUUAUAUAAUGAACAUAAUCAAUGAUGAUGAGAAAUAUCACUCACUGAUCAAAUUAAAUCCCUCUCUGAUAUUGUCUACAUGCGGACACUGAAUUGUUUAUCCGACUGUUUUUGUUAAUUUUGGGGCAAAAGAAAGAAAAGGUGAUAUAUGCCUACAUAUCCCACAAUAUUUGAUAUUUUUUUUUUAUUGUUGAAGAAAGGUUAAUAGAAACUAAAGAUUGAUACUUUGUUUUCUUUUUAUAUUUUUUCUUUGUGAUAGCCAAAGCCAUGUUGGAAAUCCAAAAUUUCUCAUUGGGGUUUGAGAAGUCUAUAGAUAAAUGCAGUAUAGAUAAUUCCACACGCCCAAACACACUCUCACUCCCCCUGUCCCUAAUGAUGUCUUUCUUUUCUUUACUUAUGAAACGCUUUGCCCUUCUGUAGUUUGUGUCAGCCUUUCCAGAUCAUUCUGCUGUGAUUUCUUCUCUAUAUCUUUCAGUUUCGAAACUUCCAUGCAUGAUUCGCCAUGCAUACUUCAAUUUCUCUCUAUGCGGAAUCAUUACUGGUUUCAAUUAAUUAAGCUGAUGGACUAACUAGCUUUCAUAUGUGUUUUACCAGCUUAUUCAGAACUCAGAAGAUGGAAGCCAGCAUUGAUCUCACCCUGACCCUUGGGUUUCCCUCUGCAAAUGAUUCUCGAGUACCUCGAUCUCCUUAUCAAGUCAAUACAUCUGCUGCUGCCGGUAGUCAGGUAUUGAUCUUGAUCUUUAACUUGUGAAGUAUAAGAUAAUUAACGUGAGUACUAACAGAAAUGAAAGAUUUAUUUACAAGUAGCAUUAAAAGAUGUCAAGUAAAUACAGUGCCUUUAGCUGUUUCUUAUAUACUAUAGAUGUUGUUCAUCUUGUUUACUACAUGAAUUUAAAGAUCAACAUGGCGGGAGUGACUUGCUGCUUCAAGUAGUGCUUCUCCUUCAGAUAUACGUGCAUGAAGGUCUGGCAUGGGUGGUGCUAUUUGUGUUGUCAUUAACAACGUAUUGUCCAUACAAUAAUAAACUCAACUCGUAGCCUUACGUGUUUAAUAACUAGCACCGUCUUUAGGAUUAAAAGUAACAUAAUUAACCUCGGUUAAAUGCAUCUAUUACAGUUGAUCGAUUACGACAACAUCUAUUAUUCUUUUAAGAACAUUUUUUUUUCCUAAUGCUUGUGUUCUGAAAAUAGAGUAAGACCCUUUUUAUCCAAAAAUAAUAAUAAUAAUAAUAAUAAUAAUAUUAAUAAUAUUAAUAAGUCAGUGUUAUAAACACACUCUUUUGUGUUAUUAACAAACCCAAUCUAUAAUGAGAACCAAUUAUGAAACAAAUUCAAAUGGAUAGUUUAAUUUGUAAAUAUUUCAUCUCAAUAGACAUUGAUAAUUGAUCACCUGUUUAGGGCUUUGAUUAUGGAGCUUCUGCUGGCAACGCUUCUGAGACAGAAUACUAUAUGCUGCAACCAGUACUAUCAUGGAGUUCCAGCUGAGAUAAGUCCCAACAGAAAUGAAGUACUGCGUGAUCGAUGUCUCCAUCACGAAAGGGAAGGUCGGGGGAUCGAAAAAAAAGGAAGACACCCCACUCUGAUGAACACCCCGUGGUGCCGAAACCUGAAGAUCAGAACAGGAGGUGCACCAAUAUCAACUGUCGGGCAUCUCAAACUCCAAUGUGGCGUACAUGACCUCUAGGGCCAAAGGUAAGUUCAACAGUGUUCAUAUAUNNNNNNNNNNNNNNNNNNNNCGUUAGGUAAGGUUAUGUAGUUUGAUUAGUAUCAGAAUGUGGUGUGUACUUUGUAUAUGUAAAUUUUGAUCAGCUUCUCUUUCAGUUGUGGAUGAUGGAUCAAACUGGAGCAUGGGGCAAAGGCAACUUUUCUGCCUCGGGCGCGCGCUUCUAAGGAGAAGUCGGGUAUUGGUGCUUGAUGAAGCAACUGCAUCUAUUGACAAUGCAACUGAUACGAUCCUGCAGAAGACUAUAAGGACUGAGUUUGAAGCUUGUACAGUAAUUACGGUAGCUCACAGGAUACCAACUGUGAUGGAUUGCACAAUGGUGCUUUCGAUUAGUGACGGUGAGAAUUUGAUUUAAUGCUCAUCUAAGAAAAUCCGUAUGUUUGCAUCCAUUAGUGUUAAUGAAGCAAGUAUGAUGAGCCAUUGUUUUUCAGGAAAAAUAGUGGAGUAUGAUGAGCCAAUGCGGUUGAUGAAGAAAGAAGGGUCGCUAUUUGGGAAGCUUGUCAAGGAGUACUGGUCUCAUCUCCAGUCUGCAGAAUCUCAUAUUGAAUGAAAUAUUUCUUUUGUAGCCAUGAAAUAAAUCUCAUAUUGAAUGAAACAUUUCUUUUGUAGCCAUAAAAAAUAGUGAACCAGGAAGCAUGAUCAAUUUAACUUAACUAUAUAUAUAGCAUGGUCUACCGUUCACAAGCAUGUGCACAGUGAACCUUUUUUCUUUUUCUUUUUUUGAAAUAGAUAAUUUAGAUUUUUCUAGAUAGGCUCUCUUUCUUGGUAAAGAAUUUUUUGCCCUCCAUUUUUGACUUUUCUUCUGUCUCCUGAAUCUUCCAGAUGAUCUUGCUUUUUCAGACCUUCAUUAUUUUUAUUUCUCUCAUCUCUCUGUCUUUACAUCUCAGAGAAUAUCGCCGUUUCAUUUCAUCUCUUUCACUAUUGUUCCGUUUUGUGCCUAUUUACCUAUAUAACAUUUGUUGGUCGACUGUUCAUAAGCAUAUAAACAGUGUCAAAACACUGUUCAUUAACAACAGUGAACGUUUUUCUUUUUUUUCUUUUUUUUUUUGAAACAAGUAACUUAGAUUUUUCUAGAUAGGCUCUCUCUCGACAAAGAUUUUUUUGCCCCCCAUUUUUGACUUUUCUUCUUCCUCUUGAAUCUUCCGGAUCGAUCUUGCCUCUUCAGACCUCUUUUAUUUUUAUUUCUCCCGUCUCUCUGUCUUUGCAUCUCAGAGAAUAUCGCUGCUUCGUUUUAUCUUUUUCACUAUUGUUUCGUUUUGUGCCUAUAUACUAUUGCUUGGUUAACUUUCGUAAGUACUGUGAACAGUGUGCAGACCUUUUUACCUUGUUAAUGAGCUGUGUAAUUCUGUAUUUACCCUUCGUUUCAACUUUAG
rnacentral:lncRNA from 1 species